GAUGAAGACGUAGCGAAAUGCGAUAAGUAAUGUGAAUUGCAGAAUUCAGUGAAUCAUCGAAUCUUUGAACGCACAUUGCGCCCGCCAGUAUUCUGGCGGGCAUGCCUGUUCGAGCGUCAUUACAACCCUCAGGCCCCCGGGCCUGGCGUUGGGGAUCGGCGGAAGCCCCCUGUGGGCACACGCCGUCCCUCAAAUACAGUGGCGGUCCCGCCGCAGCUUCCAUUGCGUAGUAGCUAACACCUCGCAACUGGAGAGCGGCGCGGCCAUGCCGUAAAACACCCAACUUCUGAAUGUUGACCUCGAAUCAGGUAGGAAUACCCGCUGAACUUAAGCAUAUCAAUAAGCGGAGGA
rnacentral:misc_RNA from 1 species